UGACUGGCACUGCAGGGAAGUUAUCAUGAUUACAAAGAUUGGGGAUCAGGAGGAUGGUUUUUCUUAGACUGUGCUUAGCCAUUAUACUCUAGCUGUGCUGUCACAUAUGGCUUCUCCAGAUGUGGUAAAGCCAUUGCAUAGUUUAUGGUAGUAAGGGUUUGCCUUCA